GCCCCUAUAGCUCAACGGUAGAGCGGAAUACUGUUAAUAUUUAGAUACAUGUUCAAUUCAUGUUGGGAGCU
rnacentral:tRNA from 1 species